UACGGAGGAUGCAAGCGUUAUCCGGAAUGAUUGGGCGUAAAGCGUCCGCAGGUGGCUGUGUAAGUCUGCUGUCAAAGAGCGAAGCUCAACUUCGUAAAGGCAGUGGAAACUACACGGCUAGAGUGCGUUCGGGGCAGAGGGAAUUCCUGGUGUAGCGGUGAAAUGCGUAGAGAUCAGGAAGAACACCGGUGUCGAAGGCGCUCUGCUAGGCCGCAACUGACACUGAGGGACGAAAGCUAGGGGAGCGAAUGGG
rnacentral:rRNA from 1 species